GGAGGGAGCUAGCGUUGUUCGGAAUUACUGGGCGUAAAGCGUACGUAGGCGGUUAUUCAAGUUAGAGGUGAAAGCCCGGGGCUCAACCCCGGAACUGCCUUUGAAACUAGAUAGCUAGAAUCUUGGAGAGGUCAGUGGAAUUCCGAGUGUAGAGGUGAAAUUCGUAGAUAUUCGGAAGAACACCAGUGGCGAAGGCGACUGACUGGACAAGUAUUGACGCUGAGGUACGAAAGCGUGGGGAGCAAACAGGAUUAGAUACCCUGGUAGUCCACGCCGUAAACGAUUAUAACUAGUUGUCCGGGCACUUGGUGCCUGAGUGACGCAGCUAACGCAUUAAGUUAUCCGCCUGGGGAGUACGGUCGCAAGAUUA
rnacentral:rRNA from 1 species